rnacentral:rRNA from 1 species
CCUACGGGAGGCAGCAGUGGGGAAUAUUGCGCAAUGGGCGAAAGCCUGACGCAGCGACGCCGCGUGAGGGAUGGAGGUCUUCGGAUCGUAAACCUCUGUCAGCAGGGAAGAACGGUCACUGUGCUAAUCAGCAGUGAAUUGACGGUACCUGCAAAGGAAGCACCGGCUAACUCCGUGCCAGCAGCCGCGGUAAUACGGAGGGUGCGAGCGUUAAUCGGAAUUACUGGGCGUAAAGCGCUCGUAGGCGGUAUGUCAAGUCAAGGGUGAAAUCCCCGCGCUCAACGUGGGAACUGCCUUUGAAACUGGCAAACUGGAAUGUGUGAGAGGAUAGUGGAAUUCCAGGGGUAGGAGUGAAAUCCGUAGAUAUCUGGAGGAACAUCAGUGGCGAAGGCGACUAUCUGGCACAUAACUGACGCUGAGGAGCGAAAGCGUGGGUAGCAAACAGGAUUAGAUACCCUUGUAGUC